UAUGAAGGGGGCUAGCGUUGUUCGGAUUUACUGGGCGUAAAGCGCACGUAGGCGGAUUGGUCAGUUAGGGGUGAAAUCCUGGAGCUCAACUCCAGAACUGCCUUUAAUACUGCCAGUCUCGAGUCCGGAAGAGGUAAGUGGAACUCCUAGUGUAGAGGUGGAAUUCGUAGAUAUUAGGAAGAACACCAGUGGCGAAGGCGGCUUACUGGUCCGGUACUGACGCUGAGGUGCGAAAGCGUGGGGAGCAAACAGG
rnacentral:rRNA from 1 species